AUUUAGAAAACAGUGUAAGUCCUGCUCAGAGCUCAGGGAGACUGAAGAGGGUGUCAAAAAUUUCUUUGAAGAGCAAUCAGGGAUAACAGCAUGCAUUUUAGAUAAUGGACAAGAAAGAGGAAGAGCACAGCAAGGAAGGACGUCUGAGAUCCUGGGCAGCCAGCUCUUGGUUCAGGCUCAGAGUAACAUCUCCAUGGCCAUCCUCCUCACAUGGGCUGGAGGAAGGCAGAAGGUGGCCACCACUGUUACAACCAGAUCAACUGGCCAACUUUGCUGGCCCAGAUCAGAAAAUGAACUUACAAGAAACACUAUUAAUGAAAUAGAGAAAGAAGAAUGUCAGAAAAAAUAAUUAAACUGUUGUCGAAUUGCUUAUUUAGCAAGAAGGAGACAGUUGCUCGUGGCUGCACAAGCAUAGGCUUGGUUUGUAACUUGCUACCAAAUAAGAUCUUGCAGCAAACCAAGCCAGAGGCACCCCAGGAAUCAAUAGCUGAUUGAUACACAACCUGGAAGAAGUGUUGCUGUCUGCUUGUUAGGGGCCUGAACCUGAGGCUUUGGCUCUAGCCCUAAAAGAGUGUCAAGUGCAACAACCUUAAUUGUUGCUGCCACCUGGAAAACCCAGAGCAGCAGCUUAUAAAUGCUGCUAUUCAUUUUCACAAUGCUUUUACUUAUUUGUAUCUGUGUCUGUUGCUGCAUAGCAGGCCUCGAGAGCAGCAGUAAAUAUAUUCAACUGGUUUACUUAAAGAGGUUUAAAUGCCUCACAUCGCAGUUUUUCCCUUGCUACUUGAUAAAUAAAUACGUCGGCUUCGGCACUGCA